rnacentral:rRNA from 1 species
AUGUCCUCGCCCCAGGCAGAGACCUCGCCGCCGUCCACCGCGUCCUGCGCAACGCCUCGGCCGCUGGCAACCUCGCCAUCCCUGAGGCCCGCACUCCUGCGCGCGGCGCGCAGCGGCGACGAGCGGCGGCUCGUGAAGGAGCUCCUCGCGGACCCGUCCGCGCCCGACCUCGAAACCGCUACCACCGCAGGAGGCAACACGCUCCUGCACGUGUCCGCGUCCGGCGGGCACGCGGCACUCGCGGCGCUCCUCCUCCGCCGCGCCCCUGGCCUCCUCGCCGCGCGCAACGCCGCUCUGGACACGCCGCUCCACUUGGCCGCUCGCGCCGGAGCCCACAAGGUCGCCGCCCUCCUCAUCGCCUCCUCCCCCUCCACCCCGUCCUUGCGCGCCCUCACCCGCGCCACCAACAAGCGCGGCGAGACGGCGCUUCACAACGCUGUGCGGGGCGGGCACGAGGCCGCGGCGCGUGCGCUGGCCGCCGCGGACCCGGGGCUCGCGGGGCUGUGCGGUGGCGCUGGGGAGACGCCGAUUUACAUGGCAACGGCCGCAGGAUCACUUGGGAUGGUGCGCGUUCUUAUCAAGUCGUAUAAGUACGACGACGCCGACGAAGAUGAGGUGCCAAGAUUGUGUUCGUGCACGGGCCCGGGAAGGCGCACGGCGCUGCACGCCGCUGUCCUCACGAGUAACGUAACAGAAAUGACACAGGAACUGUUGCAGUGGAAUCCGGCACUUGUGAAAGAAGUUGAUGAUUCAGGAAGCACUCCUCUUCAUUAUGUUGCAUCUGCUGGAAACAUUUCCGCAUUGAAGCUGUUACUGAGAUAUGAUACUUCUCCAGCAUAUGUCUCAGAUUCAAAUGGGUUGUUUCCUGUACAUGUUGCUGCUAAAAUGGGGUAUGGCCAGCUAAUCUAUGAACUCUGCAAACACUGCCCAGAUUCUGAUGAGAAGCUUGAUGGUAAAGGAAGGAACUUUUUACAUAUUGCUGUUGAGUAUAAGAAAUGGAAAGUUGUUUGGCAUUUCUGUGGUACCCCAGAGCUGGAAAGAAUGGUGAAUGUCAUGGAUUAUGAAGGGAAUACAGCUCUGCAUCUUGCAGUCAAGAAUGCAGACCAGAUGAUAGUGAGCCUUCUGAUGGCAAAUAAAAAUGUACUGCCAAAUAUAGUGAACAACAAGGGCCUCACUGCCUUAGAUCUUGCGGUACUGGCAACUGACAAAGGGAUGAGUUAUACACUGAAUCCACAGGUCAUUAUACUUCGCUGUUUAGCAUGGACAGGAGCUGUCCUUACUCCGCGUCGCCUGGAUCAUUUCAUAGAUGAGUUCCACAUUGGGAAAGCCUCUGGGAACGAGCUAAAGAAAUUCAGCAACAUUGCGCAGAAUUUAGUAGUUGGCUCCGUCCUUGUCUCAACAGUCACGUUUGCAGCAGUAUUCACUCUACCCGGCGGCACCAUAUCUGACGGUCAUCCGCAUGGUGGUGCACCAAUUUUGUCACAUAGAUACACCUUCAAGGCAUUUGUGAUGGCAAACACACUUGCAUUUGUGGGCUCCACGUUGUCCACCAUCUGGCUCACCUAUGCUGGUUCGGAUCAUGUUCAUCCACUGCUUCGUGCACUCUACAUGUUCUUCUCUGUAGUUUGCAUGGAGCAGGCGACAAGAGGCAUGGUUGCAGCAUUUGCACUAGGAGCUUAUGUUGUCUUGAGCCCAGUUACUGAGCGAAUCGCCGUUGUGGUAUGCAUGUCUACCAUCGCUACUCUAUUGCUCCGCAACCCAUCUAAUUGGCAGCUAGGCUUCCUGUUUAUGCCGAUAAAAAGGCGGUUGGGGUGGAGAGGAGCUUUUAAGGCUCAUUUGCCUCAACAAACAAGGAGUCGUCUUACAGUAGGUAUCGGCUCCAAUUUCGCGUGUUUAAUCCUGCGGAGGAUGCUUGGUAUGCUAUUUACAUACAGCUUCAUCUUUCUAUUAGCAUUGCUAUGA